AUCGCUUCUCAGCCUUUUGGCUAAGAUCAAGUGUAGGAUCCUUUCUUAUCACUUUAAUAUCUGAUACACCCUCUAUCUGAGGACAAUAUAUUAAAUGGAUUUUUGGAGCUCGAGGUUGGAAUAGGGGCUUUCUCUGUCCACUCCAUGCAUCGACCUGGUAUUGCAGUACCUUUAGGAAUGGUGCACCCCCU
rnacentral:snRNA from 1 species